AGCGUAACCGAUGAUGUUAGUUGUGGGCUGCAUGCAUUUUGUGACGCAGGUAAAGCAUUAAGCAAUCCUCCUGGGGAGUACGGUCGCAAGAUUAAAACUCAAAGGAAUGGACGGGGGCCCGCACAAGCGGUGGAGCAUGUGGUCUAAUUCGAAGCAACGCGCAGAACCUUACCACCUUUUGACAGACCUGGACCUCCACGGAGACGGGGCUKUCCCUUCGGGGACUAGGGCACAGGUGCUGCAUGGCUGUCGUCAGCUUGCGUCCUGAGAUGUUGGGCUAAGUCCCGCAACGAGCGCAACCCUCCCCAUUAGUUACCAUCAUUUAGCGGGGAACUAUAAUGGGAAGGCCGGUGCGAAGCCGGAGGAAGGUGGGGAUGACGUCAAGUSCUCAUGGCCCUUACAGGGUGGGCAUACACACGUGAUACAACGGCGAGUACAGAGGGUUAAUCCAUAAAAGUCGUCUCAGUUCGGAUUGUCSUCUGCAACACGAGGGCAUG
rnacentral:rRNA from 1 species